rnacentral:rRNA from 1 species
AUCUAUGGCCAUGCCACCCUGAACAAGCCCGAUCCCGUCUGAUCUCGGAAGCUAAGCAGGAUCGGGCCUGGUUUGUACUUGGAUGGGAGACCACCUAGGAAGACCAGGUACUGUAGCUG